rnacentral:rRNA from 1 species
CAGCCGCCACGGGAAUACAGAGGGUGCGAGCGUUAAUCGGAUUUACUGGGCGUAAAGCGUGCGUAGGCGGCUUCUUAAGUCGGAUGUGAAAUCCCUGAGCUUAACUUAGGAAUUGCAUUCGAUACUGGGAAGCUAGAGUAUGGGAGAGGAUGGUAGAAUUCCAGGUGUAGCGGUGAAAUGCGUAGAGAUCUGGAGGAAUACCGAUGGCGAAGGCAGCCAUCUGGCCUAAUACUGACGCUGAGGUACGAAAGCAUGGGGAGCAAACAGGAUUAGAUACCCGAGUAGUCCCUGUCUCUUAUAC